UACAGAGGUCCCAAGCGUUGUUCGGAUUCACUGGGCGUAAAGGGUGCGUAGGUGGCGAGGUAAGUCGGAUGUGAAAGCUCGGAGCUCAACUCCGAAAUGGCAUUGGAAACUACCUUGCUUGAGGGUUGGAGGGGGGACUGGAAUUCUCGGUGUAGCAGUGAAAUGCGUAGAUAUCGGGAGGAACACCAGUGGCGAAGGCGGCGAUCUGGGAAGAUACUGACGCUGAGGUGCGAAAGCGUGGGGAGCAAACAGG
rnacentral:rRNA from 1 species